ensembl:lncRNA
AUGUACAGGGGGAAGGAGACAGGGAUACUGGAGUGAUGGAGGAAGAUAUGUAGAGGGGUAAGGUGACUAUAUACAGGGUCAUACCAUAUUAACAAUGUACAGGGAUACUGGAGUGAUGGAGGUAGAUAUGUACAGGGGUAAGGUGACAGGGAUACUGGAGUGAUGGAGGUAGAUAUGUAUAAGGGGUCAGGUGACUAUAUACAGGGUCAGUACCAUAUUAACAAUGUACAGGGAUACUGGAGUGAUGGAGGUAGAUAUGGAUAGGGGUAAGGUGACUAUAUACAGGGUCAGUACCAUAUUAACAAUGUACAGGGAUACUGGAGUGAUGGAGGUAGAUAUGUAUAGGGGGAAGGAGACAGGGAUACUGGAGUGAUGCAGGUAGAUAUGUAUCAGGGUAAGGUGACAGGGAUACUGGAGUGAUGGAGGUAGAUAUGUAUAGGGGUAAGGUGACAGGGAUACUGGAGUGAUGGAGGUAGAUAUGUAUAGGGGGGU